rnacentral:lncRNA from 1 species
CAGGGGGUUCUUAGGAGUGCUCAUGAAGAGUCCAUCAGAGCCCAGGUGGAUAAGGCCAGCAGACGGCUGGGGCACAGGACAGCCAGUCCUUCCUUUAACCAAACCUCCCUUCCCCUCCCCGCCAGCUCAUUUUCCAGGUGACCCCACUGAGCGGGCGCCAGUGGGUGGUGGUGCUCCAGAUAUCUCUGCCUGUCAUCCUGCUGGAUGAGGCCCUCAAGUACCUGUCCCGGAACCACACGCACGAAGAAAAGAGCCAGAAGUGAGCGCUGGGAACAGAGUGGAGUCUCCGGUGUGUACCUCAGACUGAUGGUGCCCAUGUGUUCGCCUCCGCCCCCCACCCCUGCCACCACACUCGCCCACUUGCCCACCGGGUCCCGCCGGAUAAAUGACAGGCCCGAGGUCAGAAUGGCCAUCCCCGGGCCCCGUCCUGGGGUCUCUGUCCCCACUUCCUUCUGGCCUGGGAGGUCUGUAAUUCCUGUCUCCUGGACUCUCCUGGGAAGUUCCCCGCUCUGCAGCUCUGGCCCAGGAGCUGCAGGCUGGGAGGGGGCAGCCAAGAAGCCGGAGCUGGCAGCACACCCAGAGAUCCGGGGCCCCCCCACCCCCAAAUCACGAGUGCAGCUGGAGCUUGCUCCCCCUUGCUCGGAAGCUGGACGUUCACUUGGUGACUGGUGCCUCUGCACUGACAGAGGACUCCUGGGGGUCAUUCUUACCGGCUCUGACCUCUCCCUUCAUGCCUGGUCUGGGACUGGGUCAGCCCUGGGGGAUCAGAAGGGGCCAUCUGGGCCCAGCUGUGUACAGCGAGGGCGGGCAGCCCCCUCCACUCCACUCUGCUUCCACAAAGUCGGCUCCCGAGAGCUUGAGGCUGCUUCUGUUUAUAUGUGCAGGGCCCAGGGGAUGAAGGGUCAGAGAGACGGACACAGGGAGCCAGGAGGAGGGCAGAGCUAUGUGCAGGGCCCAGGGGAUGAAGGGUCAGAGAGACGGACACAAGGAGCCGGGAGGAGGGUGGAGCGAGGGUGUCCUUUCCCGGGAGACAAGUCGGGAAAGCCUGGCUGGACUGCCUCAGCCCCGCGCGCCUCCUGGACUCAGGGUUCCCCGUCCUGAGCUCGGGAGACGUUCAGAGUCACACUGCCGCCCGGUCUGCCACGCAGAGGUCCAACUUGCCACCCGCGUCCCUGGUACCUGACACCACCGACAUCCUCAGGUUCCUGACCGUGGCGCCCUUCUACCCAGCCCACUGUGCGGCCGCCGCGCUGUCUGCACAGCUGGGGGCCUCUGAGCCUGGUGGGCUUCCUGGACUCUUAGCCUCACUCCUUGCCCCCUCCCCACGACACCCAUGAGCCGAAAGGAUGUCACUAAGGGUGGCUGAUUCCCCAAGGGCACCCGCUCUCCCUCCCUCCCUGCUGGAGGAACACGUCAUGUCAGAUGAGAGGAAGAUGGCCUCUGAUGGACAGAAUGUUUCUCUUAACUCAGCUUUUGCUACUUUGGCAAAAACUAGCGAGGGGUAGCGGAAACCUGCACCAAGGACUGUCCCUAUGUCUGGGCCCCUCCUAGAGCGUGUGCAGACUGAUGAUUUUAUAUGUAAAUCAAGACUCACAUCCCUUUCCUAGUCCCCCACAUGCAAAGCCCC